rnacentral:rRNA from 1 species
GGACUACAGGGGUUUCUAAUCCUGUUUGCUCCCCACGCUUUCGUAGUUGAGUGUCAGUAUCUAUCCAGGUCGCCGCCUUCGCCUCUGGUGUUCCUCCCGAUCUCUACGCAUUUCACCGCUACACCGGGAAUUCCACGACCCUCUCUAGAACUCUAGUCUCACCGUUUCUGGGGCACUUCUUGAGUUAAGCUCAAGGCUUUCACCCCAGACAAAUAAGACCACCUACCUACCCUUUACGCCCAAUAAAUCCGAGCAACGCUUGCACCCUCCGUAUUACCGCGGCGGCUGGCAC